UGCAUUUACAGUAGAGACCAGCAAGGGGGAUUAAUUAUAUUACAUCUAUGCGGCCUAUCAUUUAUUAGUCUAUUUAUUUUAAUCUAGUGUUCCGUGUGUGGUUAAAAAAAAAAUCCUUGUUUUCAGUUUGAAAGCAACGGGACAUGAAAGAAACAACAAGCACUUAAGACUCUGACAAGACCUUCAGCUUCUCCUCUUUCACUAGCAGGCAUCAGCCAGCGAUCAUUAUUAACAUCUACCAUCAGUUCCACGUUUGGCUAGAAACCACAGAGGAGGGCUCUGUUAAAUGAAAUUCAAAAUUUGUAAAAUCCUCCUGAGUCGUCUGUAGGGAGCUAAGUGUGGAAGCUGAUGGACCAGCUAGGGAGUGAUUACAAUAAAUCAGACCAGGGACGAUGGUGGCUUGGCCCGGGGUCAGCCACGGUGGAGUCUGGUCCACAAGGGACCUAGAGAUACUCAAAUCAACCCAAGGUAAAGUACUAAGAGUGGAAAUCCAAGCUAAAUACUUUCAAAGUGAAAAAAGAAUCUAGUCAGUCGAGUUACUGUCUGUCAUUAAUUAUUUGUAUAAAAGGCAAUAAUUGCUAAGGUAAUUCAUUGUCUAUUUGGAGAUAAUGUACCAAAAGGGAGAUGCUUAACAGAUGGCCAUGUUAAGAAAUUCCUGGCUUUUGAAUCUGUUUGGAUAUAUUAGGAAUGAACAAACACCAUACAAGUUCUGCACAUGGUGACGUGUCAGAUGACACUCAGCUGUCACUUAGAAGAACAAUGCCGUCUAUAGAACAAGACACACAUAUUUGUGAAGAACCCUGAGGUUCUCAGCAGCUUUCCUCAUAGGCACAUGGACAUUUCAUGGGACCCUGGAAAGAUCACACAGUGAGGAAGACAAUCAUUCUCAUCCGGCCUGUGCACCUGCUGCAGUACGGUCACCUGGUCUGGCUCCAUCGAAGCAGAAGGAAAGGAAGAUUUCACUCUGAGAGGGAACAUAAGAGUCCGGGUGUCGUGUGAGCUGAAGCGUGGGGACCACAGCUUGAUAUUAGUCUUUCCAUUAUUUUGAGUUUCUACAAGUGCUUCCUAUAAAAUUUAUCUGUUUUGAAGCCAGAGGGAUUAAUAGUUUCUCAAUGAUAAAAGGCUAUCUUGUGAAGACAACAAUGCGUAUAUUAUUUGAAGUUAUUAUAUGCCAUUUGAUAGUGGUUCUUUUUUGACUCCUGUAUAAACCUUUUGGAGGAGAGAUCUCAAAGAUACAUAUAUAUAUAUAAAUCAUAUAUAUAUAUAAGUAUAUAUCUUUUGCAUAUACAUAAGUAUAUAUAUUAUUGCAAAUCCUGUUAAAAAUGUUUC
rnacentral:lncRNA from 1 species